rnacentral:rRNA from 1 species
UGAGUUUGAUUCUGGCUCAGGAUGAACGCUGGCGGCGUGCUUAACACAUGCAAGUCGAACGAACCUUCGGGUUGGUGGCGGACGGGUGAGUAACGCGUGAGAAUCUGCCCUCAGGAGGGGGACAACAGCUGGAAACGGCUGCUAAUACCCCAUAUGCCGCGAGGUGAAAUGAACUUCGCCUGAGGAUGAGCUCGCGUCUGAUUAGCUAGUUGGUGUAGGUAAUGGCUCACCAAGGCAUCGAUCAGUAGCUGGUCUGAGAGGAUGAUCAGCCACACUGGGACUGAGACACGGCCCAGNCUCCUACGGGAGGCAGCAGUGGGGAAUUUUCCGCAAUGGGCGAAAGCCUGACGGAGCAACGCCGCGUGAGGGAUGAAGGCCUCUGGGCUGUAAACCUCUUUUAUCAAGGAAGAAGAUCUGACGGUACUUGAUG